ACUGAAAAAUACUACCAUAUUUCUUUUGUUUUUUUUACUGUGCAAAUACUUGUAAUAAAAAAUAAAUAUAAAGUGAGCACUGUACACUUUGUAUUCUGUGUUGUAAUUGAAAUUAAUAUUGUCGCAGCCCUAUGCUCUGUCAUGGCGUCCGGAUGGCCAAUUGUCUGUCAGAAGGUCACAUCGGUGUCGUGUGCAGCACCUUGGUGCUGUUUGCAGCGCCUUGGUGUCGUGUGCAACACAUUGGGGCCGUGUGACCAUUCUCGAACCUUCUGCCUGGUCAAUUGUAGGUCACAUUGGUACCGUGUGCUACAAUUCCAGCGGGCCGUGUGCAUAAGCCUAGUGUGCCGUGUGCAGUGCCUGUUACGUAGGGGGCACCAGCUCGGAGCCUGGUUGGUGUCGGAGCGGGGAACCAAUUAGAUGCUAGCAUGUGCAAGGGUCUUCGAACAAAACUAUGUCUCUGGUCUAAAUCAGCAGGAGUGUCCGCGUGUUAGCUGAAAGGCCUGAUCACCCUUUCAGCCAGGAUCUCCUCCGGAUUUAGCUAGCUCGUGUCGUGUAAUUUCGGGUUCCAUCUCAUCAUGUCCUUGCUGUCUGUACUGCUGGUCAGCUGCGCCUGGAGUGUGCAGGAUCUUCAGCAGAAGAGGAAAUGGAGGGAAGGCGUAAAGACAGUCCUUGUCCUGGGGAGAAGAAGAGCAUUGCCAAGAGAGUGUCCAAUCCCCCCCACCCCAGAACAGUAUCAUGGACACUUCUUGUUCUGAUUCUCAGUGACCCAAGAAUGGCCCUGGGACCCUUCAAUGGAGAGAGGCAUCAGUCUUCUCAGUGAAGAGCUUCACGCCUCCAAAGGGGGUGUCCGCCACCAUGGUCUGCACCUCCUUUGGGAAUUCCGAGAGGUGGAGUCAUGACGCCCAUUUCAUCACCACUGCCAUGGAGAUGGUCCUGGUAGCUGUGAUGGUAGUGUCAAGGGCCGAUUACAAAGAUGUUUUUGCCACCAGUUGCCCUUCCUGGAUGAUGGCCUUGAAGGAAUCCUGGGAGCUCUCCGGCAGCUUAUCAAUAAAGUUGUGUAAUUUAUUGUAAUUUAUGUCAUACUUUGCCAUGAGCGCUUGGUAGUUGGCAACGUGAAAUUGCAAGGUAGCCAAGGAGUACACCUUUCUAUCAAAGAGAUCAAGGCGCUUCCAACCUCUGUCAUAGGGUGUUGUCCUAGAGUGGUGCUGUCGGCCACAAAGUUCACAGCGUCCACCACAAUGGAAUUGAGUGGUGGGUGGGUGAACAGGAACUCUGAUUCCUUUGUGAGGACAUAAUAUUUCUUGUCCACCUGCUUGUCCAGUGGGUUUUUUGUAAUUGUUGAUUUUGUUGGUUUUUUGUUUGUUUGUUUCUGGUUUUUUUAGGCACAGCCAUAUAAAAGCCAAAAAGAAAGCUAAAGGGUUUCUAAAAGCUAAAGAUUAACAACUGAAAAGAAGAGUUAAUGAUCUGCUAACGGACAGCUAAAGGUUCCAUUUCUAGUCAGAGCAGUUGAGAAGGCACUGAGGACAGCGCAACAGGAAGAGAGACAGCGCAUGUAUUGACCCAACUGACACUGUUACCAAAGUUCUCUGAUCGGCAGUGCAGGGACACAGACGUAUCUACAGUGGAGCACCCGCAGGGACACUACUCAAGAAGAAGUUAUUUUCCCCUUCUCAUAACACUCAAACCAGGGGUCAGCCAAUGAAAUUAACAGGCAGCAGGUUUAAAACAAACUAAAGGAAGUAUUUCUUCACACAGCGCACCGUCAACCUGUGGAACUUGUCAGGGGAGGUUGUGAAGGCCAAAAUAUAAUAGGCUUCAAAAACAAAUUCAGUAAGUUCAUGGAGGAUAGGUCUAGCAAUGGCUAUUAGCCAAGAUGGUCAAAGACCCAACCCCAUGCUCUGGCUGUCCCUAGCCUCUGACUGCCAGAAGCUUGGGCUGGAUGAGAGGGGAUGGAUCACUUGAUGAUUGCCUGUUCUGUUCACUCCCUCUGGGGCACCUGGCAUUGGCCACUGUCGGAAGACAGGACACUGGGCUAGAUGGAUCUUUGGUCUGACCCAGUAUGGUAAUUUGUAUGUCCUUAAGAUUCCAACAAAGGCAUGUUCUCUCCUUGUUGCCUUUGUGGGGCUGGCCCUUCCUAAUGUUAUUGGCCUGCAAUCUAGAGGCUCCUACCUCUGCCUCCCUGUGGUUAUGAGUAUAAUGCACUUAAGGCCAAUCAGAGCCUUCCAUAAAAACACCUGUCAGGGGAGCCAGGGACCUCUGGGAGCUUCACCUUGCCAAGUUUCUUUGGAAUCAUCCCAUUUGGGGGGGGCGGGGGACUGCCCCCAUGCAGCAGGCAGUGGUUGUGGAUAUACAAAAGAUCCAUGGGGAAAUCCUGUGGGUCCCAGGGCAUCUAGCGGUCUAGUGCCUCCAUGUGGCAGCACAGCCUAGCCCCCACUAGUAUCCAUGUUGUGCUUGGGCAAACCAUCCUCUUCAGUAGGGCUUGCACAGCACAGAGUGGGGGAGAGUCUGUGGAAAGCCCCUUGGGUUUACAGGUAGAUGAUGCCACAGAGCUUGGUUUAUUCCAGCCUCAUCCCCACACUGUAAGAAAAGAACAGGUAAUAUAUUUAAAUAAAUACAAGUAGAUAGGUGCCUUGACAUACCCAGAAUGUUUGGCAGCACAGCAGCUAAGUUCUCCCUGGAUGUACCUGAAAUAAUUGACAAGUGGCUAAAUAACUUGGGAUCCAACUUUGAUAAUGUGUAUUGUGGUGCAUUGAAAACUUGUUAAAAUUACAAGCUAUCACUUUAAGUUAUAGGGGGUUUCCUGGUUCUGCUGGUAGCCUAGGGAAAUCUGUAGGGAAGAAGCAAGUGAUUACAGCUGCAAAGAGUUGGCCUCUAGGGUGGGGUGAGUUGUGUUUCUCUGCUUUGGGGUGCAACCUGCUUUGUUUCUCUCUGUUUUUGUUUCUUGUGUGUUAGAGUUCUGGAUUCUAAGAAAUAAAGUUGUGUUAUGUUGCAACUUCCAGAAAGA